AGACCAGCAAGAGAAAGAGGACUCUUGCCUAAUCCUACGAAGGCACGCCAUACGUGUCUUAAAACCAACACGCCAAUACUUAGUGCCUCACAUUGUACGAAGCACUAGUUGCGAAGAUGACGACCAUUUGGAUCCUUCUGUCGCUGCUCUUCGCUGUACAUGCUUUGCCGGACGUUCACGCCUACACAUCAAGUAACCCAUUCUGCUACCGGCUUGUUCCCCAUGAAAUAACGGCCGUACAGACACCGUGCAGGUAUCCAUGCUUGCUGCUCUCAAGCAACGUGCAGCCUGCAGUACACGUUCAAUACGAAAUGGACGGGGCGCCAUG